CAGUCGCCGCGGUAAUACGUAGGUGGCAAGCGUUGUCCGGAAUUAUUGGGCGUAAAGGGCUCGCAGGCGGUUUCUUAAGUCUGAUGUGAAAGCCCCCGGCUCAACCGGGGAGGGUCAUUGGAAACUGGGAAACUUGAGUGCAGGAGAGGAGAGUGGAAUUCCACGUGUAGCGGUGAAAUGCGUAGAGAUGUGGAGGAACACCAGUGGCGAAGGCGACUCUCUGGUCUGUAACUGACGCUGAGGAGCGAAAGCGUGGGGAGCGAACAGGAUUAGAUACCCCUGUAGUCCCUGUCUCUUAUAC
rnacentral:rRNA from 1 species